GACAGCUCCUACUCUUUAAAUUAAAUAAAAUUGUAAUUCUCAAAUAAAAACAAAGUCCGUCCCAGACGCCAUUAUAAUAACUAAUAACUUCGCAUUACAAGGGGGCGGUACCACUCGUGACAUCACUUCCGCUGGCUUAAGUCACUCGCGCUCGUCUCUGGCUUUUGUUCAUCAGUUACCAACCGCACACCGGAGAGACGAAGCUACAGCGGCCGGACAAAAACGCGUUUGUUUGCCGAAGCAACUCGCGUGUUCGUGUCAAGACUCGCAUCGCCUCCUACAGGACGUGGAUACUAAAACAGUCUCUCCAGCGGACUUUUGGCAUUCAUUCUUCUUUUUAACUUAUUUCCAAGCCCGACAUGGAGACCGAGAGUAAAUAUCUCCCUCAGCUGCUGGCGGAGCGCGACAGCCUGGACUCAUCGUUCACACACGCCACGAAACUUAUCUCGGCAGAAAUCGAGAGGGUCCAGAAAGGCGACACAGAGAAAGAUACAGAAAGCUACCUGGACCUCUUCACAACGAAAAACAUCAAACUGAAGGAAAGGGUCCUCAUACCUGUCAAACAGUACCCUAAGUUUAACUUUGUGGGGAAGAUCCUUGGACCGCAGGGGAACACCAUCAAGAGGCUGCAGGAGGAGACGGGUGCUAAGAUCUCGGUUCUUGGGAAGGGAUCCAUGAGGGACAAAACUAAGGAGGACGGUUUGAGGAAAAGCGGAGAGCCGAAGUACGCACAUCUGUCCAUGGAGCUCCAUGUGUUCCUCGAGGUGUUUGCUCCUGUUCCCGAGGCAUAUCUGCGCAUGGCGCACGCUAUGGAAGAGAUCAAGAAGUUUCUGUUUCCUGACAUGAUGGAUGAUAUUUGCCAAGAGCAGUUUAUGGAGAUGAAAUAUUUAAAUGGGGGACAGGAGCAUGGAGCCAGAGGCCGCGGCGGACCGCCCGUCAGAGGCCGUGGAGCCCCCCCUCCUUCAGGACCACCCAGGGGUCGCGGUAUGCCCCCGCGCGGAGCGGUUCGUGGUGGACCCCCUCGAGGAGGAGCUGUAAGGGGGGCUCCAGCAGGAAGAGGCGGGCCUCCGACCCAGUCUCCAAGAGGAGCAGCUGCCGGACGUGCCCGUCCCCCUGCCCCUUCAGGACAGAGGAUGCCCCCUCCGCAACCCCCACAUCCUCCAGCGCAAGAGACAUAUGAAGAAUAUUCCUAUGAUGAGAACUACACAGAGCCAGCAUAUGAAUCCUAUGAGAGCUACUACACUCAACCACAGGCAGAACCGGAAUACUACGACUAUGGGCAUGGAGAGCCACAGGAGGGGUACGAAAGCUACGCUCAGGAUGACUGGAACGGAACACAGCGCACUUCUACCACCACUGGUGGGAAAGCUCCCGCUCAGAGACAGACUAAGCCCGGAUACAGAGAGCACCCCUAUGGACGAUACUAAGUCUGACUAGCGGAACGUCACCCAACACGUCGCCAUGACAACUGUCUCCCAUGGCAGCUCACGCUUUAAGCUACCCAACAAAAGUACUGAUGCCCGGCAUUUCCUGGAAAUGGAAUCGGUUUAACAAGAAUGUGGGACCUCUGUCCAGAAUGAUAACUAACUCUUCAAAACCUUGGAGUUGUAACUGUGGGAGUUACGAUUAAUAACUAGAGAAAAAACCUUGGGAGUCUCAGCCGGGAGUGCCAAUUCUCCUCUGAUGCAUUACAGGUGCAGUCCGUAGCCGGGUUUCCAUCACCCUGGUUUUAUGUGCAUUUGAAGUUUCGUAAUAGAAAUGGCAAAUUUAGAAGAAAAAAAACACGUUAUUUCGCAAAAGUGUAACGGCUAAUAUUACCCACAACUCUCCGCAAGUAGGUGGAGUUUAGUAGCUCCACUAUUUCAAUAAAUUUAAAGAAUGAAAACCAAAAUGUAGGCUACGGCAUAGAAUUUAUGGUGAAGGUCGGACGCAGAAAUAAAAAAAUUGGGCUUUAACAGUACAUAUGAAACAACUUGGUUGUCUAGGCAACAGCAGCCAUUUUUGUUUCCUGUUAUACGUGUGAAACGAUGCGACAAACGAAUGCAUUAGAACCCACUAUUAAAAGUGUGCACAUGCGUUCCUCCCACCUGGUUGCUUUACUCACCUCAGUGCAAUUCUUCCACAGGAAAAGAAGUGUUUACGCUGUAAGAGCAAUCUUAACCAUUGAGCACCAGAAGUCUUUAUGGAACCAUGGACAUGGCAAACUGGAGGGUCUGAUGGAUACCUUGCGAGGAGAAAGAAACAAGAAAAUUAAAGAUUGAAUCACCACAUGUCUACCAGGUUAAACCGGACAAGUCUUGGUGUCUGGUGUUGUGUUCGGUUUGCUAUAGAUGGUGCUCUAUACUGGGAUAUUUCAGGCGUUCCUCAAUGCUUAUGACAUCAAGGUCUUUCUAUGCAGUUAACUUGAUGUUUUCAUCAGUGAUUGGACCUCUUUUCCUGAUGUUCACCCAGAAAUCCUUUCAAAAGGCUAAGAAAAAUAUCUCAGAACAGCGCUUUUAUUCUGCAAGACAAGCAUGUCUUCUCCGACACGCUCGCUUCCACACUCAGAGGAACGUACAUGCUAAUUUAGAGCUGACCGGCUCCUAUCUUUUAGCGCAGACAUUGUGUUUUAAUUGGCUGGAUAAUUUUCCUCUUGCUCUGGAGUAGAUAUGUUUGUAUGGCUUUAUUCCUUCUGCUGCUGUCUUGCAGUUUGAAUCUGAAUCUAGCAUCUGAUGAAGCAAAGGCAAAGCUCCAGGGUUUUGCAGUGUAGAGUGGUUGUUGAGCUAAAUUAAGGUAACAUUUUUCUCCAUAGAGGCAUGAAAUGGAUUUUGCACAAGCUAUAUGUUCUGAUCCUUGUUUUGGAGAGGCUGAUUUUGGCACCGAAUGCAUGAACGCGUGCGUCACUGUCAGUAUAUAUCGGUUGAGGUUCCCCACCACUCGAUCUUUUGCUCAUUUUUCCCUAGCUCACACAGGAUUCAGGCUCGUCAUUCGGACCAAUUACUGCCGAUGACAGUGUGUCUGUCCCCCACAGUUGCUGACGGACUAACAGGACUCUGCCUUAUUGCCUUAGACACAAAUCAGUCCUUGGCACACAUUUUAAUAAGCAUCAGCUAGUGCUCAAGUGACAUUGAACAAUUGGAAAUGGCUGGCCGUGGUAGGAGGUUGACCAGUGCAUACGCAGGCAUAACGUAAUGAGGAAUCUCAAAAGCAGAUCUUGGACGCUGGGGGCAAAACAAAUUCUAGCGAUCUCCCCGGAACAGAAUAUUCAAGCCAACUAGAUGGAGUUAAUGGGUCCGUGUUUACAUAUUCAUGGGCAUGCAUGUGACCUACAGCUGCAGGGAAAUGCAUCAAUGCCGGUUCGUGGGCUUACUGGGGGUAAGGUUUGGCAGCGCCUUGCUCCUAAGGCGCAUUAUGCAUGCUAAAAACAGGAAGCAUGUUUUCCUGAAUGCAGAUUCAUGCUCACACCACAUACGCUGUCUGCAUCGCUUACUCGCAUGGCUAUUUGUUAGUUUCACACCUAAUAGUGCACGCGCUCCGGGGGGUUGGGGGUUUGCGACUGUUUCUGGCUCAAGUCCCGGAGAAACCGUGGACGCCGGCCACCUCGAUCAGCAUGAAGGUGUUGGAAAUAACUAGGCCUCAUAAAGGUUUCUUCCUCGGUGUGCCAUGGUGUAUUCGAAUUGAAUCUGUCCAUGUGGAAUCUGGCUUGAGUAAUCUGUAGCCCUCCAGGACUGGAGUUUGACACAACCACCACGGCUGUUGCUGUGGUAACAUUCCAUUGCAUGUUUUCCAACAUUCACAUAAGCAAAUGCACACAGUACAAUGUGGGGAUGUCUUGGGGAUUGCUUGGGAUUAGCGAUAAAUGGCUCUGCCAGACGUCUGCAUUGUCUUUUGUUGUGUUAAAGUGAUUUAUGUGCCUGUAGUUGCCUGAUGUGGCUAAACCUGAUUUCGAGCACAUGAACACAGCGUCUGUCAACAGCAGUUGGACUUUUACUCAAUCGAGCCUUUAGGGACAGGGAAACUGAUCACUGGUGAGCGGACACAAUUUCUGUUCAUAUCUUCACAAUGACACUUGCUUGUUUAUUAUUCUUUUUGGAGAUCGGUGCAUCCAAGUAUUUCAACUCUCGUUCAUACACAGUCAGAUUACAUGACGAAAGAAGGAAAUGCAAAAUCGCCUGAUUGGUUUUGGUGCUACACAAUGUUUGGCCUUAAAGUUGUCAGAAAUAAAGAUUUGAAUGCAA